rnacentral:rRNA from 1 species
UGCGUAAGGAUCAUUG